rnacentral:rRNA from 1 species
GGAUUAGUGGCGAACGGGUGAGUAACACGUGGGCAAUCUGCCCUGCACUCUGGGACAAGCCCUGGAAACGGGGUCUAAUACCGGAUAUGACACGGGAUCGCAUGGUCUCCGUGUGGAAAGCUCCGGCGGUGCAGGAUGAGCCCGCGGCCUAUCAGCUUGUUGGUGGGGUGAUGGCCUACCAAGGCGACGACGGGUAGCCGGCCUGAGAGGGCGACCGGCCACACUGGGACUGAGACACGGCCCAGACUCCUACGGGAGGCAGCAGUGGGGAAUAUUGCACAAUGGGCGCAAGCCUGAUGCAGCGACGCCGCGUGAGGGAUGACGGCCUUCGGGUUGUAAACCUCUUUCAGCAGGGAAGAAGCGCAAGUGACGGUACCUGCAGAAGAAGCACCGGCUAACUACGUGCCAGCAGCCGCGGUAAUACGUAGGGUGCGAGCGUUGUCCGGAAUUAUUGGGCGUAAAGAGCUCGUAGGCGGCCUGUCGCGUCGGAUGUGAAAGCCCGGGGCUUAACCCCGGGUCUGCAUUCGAUACGGGCAGGCUAGAGUUCGGUAGGGGAGAUCGGAAUUCCUGGUGUAGCGGUGAAAUGCGCAGAUAUCAGGAGGAACACCGGUGGCGAAGGCGGAUCUCUGGGCCGAUACUGACGCUGAGGAGCGAAAGCGUGGGGAGCGAACAGGAUUAGAUACCCUGGUAGUCCACGCCGUAAACGUUGGGAACUAGGUGUGGGCGAC